rnacentral:piRNA from 1 species
UCCUGGAGACUCCCCACAUUCUGGAAUGAUG